rnacentral:rRNA from 1 species
GAUGAACGCUAGCGGGAGGCCUAACACAUGCAAGCCGAGCGGUAUUGUUUCUUCGGAAAUGAGAGAGCGGCGUACGGGUGCGUAACACGUGUGCAACCUGCCUUUAUCUGGGGGAUAGCCUUUCGAAAGGAAGAUUAAUACUCCAUAAUAUAUUGAACGGCAUCGUUUAAUAUUGAAAGCUCCGGCGGAUAAAGAUGGGCACGCGCAAGAUUAGCUAGUUGGUGAGGUAACGGCUCACCAAGGCGAUGAUCUUUAGGGGGCCUGAGAGGGUGAUCCCCCACACUGGUACUGAGACACGGACCAGACUCCUACGGGAGGCAGCAGUGAGGAAUAUUGGUCAAUGGGUGCAAGCCUGAACCAGCCAUCCCGCGUGAAGGACGACUGCCCUAUGGGUUGUAAACUUCUUUUGUAUAGGGAUAAACCUACCCUCGAGAGGGUAGCUGAAGGUACUAUACGAAUAAGCACCGGCUAACUCCGUG